CCAACUAGGCGUCCAUAUUCUGCCUCUGGCGUUUCCCUGUACGUUAGCGAUAAUCCGAAAGGUAGCGACGAUGUUGGACCAGGUCUGCCGGCGUUCCUUGGCCAGGAUGGCAGCCUGGU
rnacentral:ncRNA from 1 species